GUAGGGAAUCUUCGGCAAUGGACGGAAGUCUGACCGAGCAACGCCGCGUGAGUGAAGAAGGUUUUCGGAUCGUAAAGCUCUGUUGUAAGAGAAGAACGAGUGUGAGAGUGGAAAGUUCACACUGUGACGGUAACUUACCAGAAAGGGACGGCUAACUACGUGCCAGCAGCCGCGGUAAUACGUAGGUCCCGAGCGUUAUCCGGAUUUAUUGGGCGUAAAGCGAGCGCAGGCGGUUAGAUAAGUCUGAAGUUAAAGGCUGUGGCUUAACCAUAGUACGCUUUGGAAACUGUUUAACUUGAGUGCAGAAGGGGAGAGUGGAAUUCCAUGUGUAGCGGUGAAAUGCGUAGAUAUAUGGAGGAACACCGGUGGCGAAAGCGGCUCUCUGGUCUGUAACUGACGCUGAGGCUCGAAAGCGUGGGGAGCAAACAGGA
rnacentral:rRNA from 1 species